rnacentral:rRNA from 1 species
UACGAGGGGUGCAAGCGUUGCUCGGAAUUAUUGGGCGUAAAGGGUUGGUAGGUGGUCUUGUUUGUCUAGGGUGAAAUCCCAUGGCUUAACUGUGGAAGUGCCCUAGAAACGGCAAGACUAGAGUCCUAGAGGGGUUUGUGGAAUUCCCGGUGUAGCGGUGAAAUGCGUAGAGAUCGGGAGGAACACCAGCGGCGAAGGCGGCAAACUGGAUAGGAACUGACACUCAACAACGAAAGCGUGGGGAGCAAACAGG